AGUCGAACGGUAACAGCGGAUGCUUGCAUCCGGCUGACGAGUGGCGGACGGGUGAGUAACACGUAGGAAUCUACCCAGUAGAGGGGGAUAGCCCGGGGAAACCCGGAUUAAUACCGCAUAUACCCUAAGGGGAAAAGGUGGCCAAUUCUUGAAAGCUGCCACUACUGGAUGAGCCUGCGCCAGAUUAGCUUGUUGGUGGGGUAAUGGCCUACCAAGGCAAUGAUCUGUAGCUGGUCUGAGAGGACGAUCAGCCACACUGGGACUGAGAUACGGCCCAGACUCCUGCGGGAGGCAGCAGUAGGGAAUAUUGCGCAAUGGGCGAAAGCCUGACGCAGCCAUGCCGCGUGUGUGAAGAAGGCCCCAGGGUUGUAAAGCACUUUCAGAAACGAGGAAAAUCGUUCGGUUAAUAGCCGGGCUGAUUUGACGUUAGUUUUAGAAGAAGCACCGGCUAACUCCGUGCCAGCAGCCGCGGUAAUACGGAGGGUGCAAACGUUAAUCGGAAUCACUGGGCGUAAAGAGCUCGUAGGUGGUUUGUCAAGUGGGAUGUGAAAGCCUUGGGCUCAACCCGAGAACUGCAUUCCAAACUGGUGAACUAGAGUACGGGAGAGGGAGGUGGAAUUUCACGUGUAGCGGUGGAAUGCGUAGAGACGUGAAGGAACGCCAAUGGCGAAGGCAGCCUCCUGGACCGAUACUGACACUGAGGAGCGAAAGCGUGGGUAGCAAACAGGCUUAGAUACCCUGGUAGUCCACGCCGUAAACGAUGAGAACUAGCCGUUGGAGACCUAAUGGGUUUUUAGUGGCGCAGCUAACGCGAUAAGUUCUCCGCCUGAGGAGUACGACCGCAAGGUUAAAACUCAAAUGAAUUGACGGGGGCCCGCACAAGCGGUGGAGCAUGUUGUUUAAUUCGAUGCAACGCGAAGAACCUUACCACCCCUUGACAUCCCUGGAACUGUCUGGAGACAGAUAGAUGCCUUUCGGGGAGCCAGGUGACAGGUGCUGCAUGGCUGUCGUCAGCUCGUGUCGUGAGAUGUUGGGUUAAGUCCCGUAACGAGCGCAACCCUUGCCCUUAAUUGCCAGCGGAUAAAGCCGGGAACUUUAAGGGGACUGCCGGUGAUAAACCGGAGGAAGGCGGGGAUGAUGUCAAGUCAUCAUGGCCCUUACGGGGUGGGCUACAAACGUGCUACAAUGGAAGAUACAAAGGGCAGCAAGCUGGCGACAGCAAGCCAAUCCUCAAAGUCUUUCGCAGUCCGGAUCGCAGUCUGCAACUCGACUGCGUGAAGUUGGAAUCGCUAGUAAUCGCGAAUCAGAAUGUCGCGGUGAAUACGUUCCCGGGCCUUGUACACACCGCCCGUCACGUCAUGGGAGUGGGUUGCACCAGAAGUGGCUGGCUUAACCUUUCGAGGAG
rnacentral:rRNA from 1 species